rnacentral:rRNA from 1 species
AGCGCAGGCGGGAUAGCAAGUCAGCGGUGAAAUGCAUGGGCUUAACUCAUGAGCUGCCGUUGAAACUGUUAUUCUUGAGUGGAGUAGAGGCAGGCGGAAUUCCGAGUGUAGCGGUGAAAUGCGUAGAUAUUCGGAGGAACACCAGUGGCGAAGGCGGCCUGCUGGGCUCUAACUGACGCUGAGGCUCGAAAGUGUGGGUAGCAAACA